AUACUAACCUGGCGCAGAGGUUAACCGUGAUCAACGAGGCGGUUCCUCCAGGGCAAGGCUCUUCCAUUGCACUGUCGGUCGAGCUAAGCCCUGCGAGUAUCCCUAGUGAGGAUACUUCGGGCGUACAAUUUUUGUUAGCCGGGAGUGCGUAUUCGCUCUCCCGA